AAUCAGAUCUGUGUCACAUUUGUGUCACUCCAACCGGGUAAACUGAUCCGGCUUUCCACCUCAGUGAGCAGCCUAGCACUAGUGAAUAAAUACAUAAACACACAAACUGUAGAUUUGUUUUGGGUAGAGCUAGUUUGUAGACAUAGUGUCUGUAACUGGCACAUGGUUGGUCUCCAAGCAGAGAUCUUGUCAUGGAGAGCAAUAUGGCACUCUUUAAAAUAAAAAAAUAUAUACAAAACAAUGAGUUCUUUACACUCAGCCUGUCAUUACUUGACAGCCACUUAUGAGCCUCUUACGCAAACAGAAAAAAAGUUUCUCCACAUUGGCAUCCGUUUAUCCGGAGAGAAAAAAACAGGGGGAAAAGUCGAGGAAAUCGAGUUUGUCAUUUACAGCGAUGUUAUUUCAGUCCCUCUCCCACUUUUCCACUGUGUCCUUGUUGCCUUUCCCAUUACUGACCACUUUAGCAGGCAGCAGCGUGCCACAUGGGACCUGGUCAUGAUUCUCUGAGAGAGUCCAGACCUCUGCUGUGAGAAAGAAACACACAGAGGAAUGAGGGAAAGAAAGAAUGAAAAAAUGCAUGAGACGGACAGAAAGCAAUCCAUAGAAACUGUAAGUGAGAAGAAAAGAGGAAAGCGUCCAUAACUGAAAUCCAUUGACCCACAGAGAGAGAUAUACACAGAGAGGGAAUGAGUGAGUGUGUGUGUGUGUGUGUGUGUGUGUGUGUGUGUGUGUGUGUGUGUGUGUGUGUGUGUGUGUGUGUGUGUGUGUGUGUGUAAUGGGCGUUGUUCCAGUGCCUCCUCAGGUCUCUCUUCUGUUUGUAUAGGACUAUUCAUGCCCUUAUUAGGUUCAGUGUUACAGACAGAAAGUUCAGCGCGCAGACUCGUGGGCAACAGCUGGAAUGGUUUACUUUACAGUUUUAUUUUAAGAACAUUUAAAUAGCUUAAAGGUGGCAUCAGCAAUUUUGAAACGUUCCCAAGAACAUGUCAUUAACAGCAUUAAGAUAAUCCACAUCGAAUAAUACUUCCCUGAGAAACUCAUUAAAAAAUCAAAGUGUCUAUGAAUAUACACGAUUAUGCAAAUCUGCAUAAUCCCCCCCCCCAUGCCCUCAUGCCUUCCCUAAAUAUUAGUAAAUAUUAGCAAACUUAGCCGACUGUCUAGCAAAUUGCUAGGCUGUCACAUGUUUAUGGAUUUUUAUGAAGUUAUAUUAUCAAUGAUAAAUUUCACAAGGUAAAACUCAGUACGUAUUACCAUAACAGACUUUAUUUUGUUUAGUACUAACACUAGGUUAUCCAUCUAGCUCACGUAUCAUGCAGGUUCUGUUUAUGUAUGCAAGGAGGGAAGUUUUUUUUUAGUGGCAUGACAAUCGCAGCUGUUACCUAGCCCCACCCCCUAAUAAGUUUUAUAAUAGGAAUAUAAUAAAAGUGACUUUUUACAAAUUUGACCCAAACACCAAUCCGUAUAUACAUAUUUAAUAUUAGAUGGAUAAGAUAAAGCAGCCAUCUUUCAUUUUUGUGUCGUCAAACAAAAAGUAAAUACUAAACUGCAGGUAGGAAUUGAAGUUGUGAGUGGGGAACUGAAGAAAUGUAGGACCACAUGCAUCAUAGGAUUAGUCUGAGAAAUCAUUUGAGCCAACUGUUUGGAUUGGUCACGACUAAUUUGCAUAGAAUUGAGAAAAGUGUCGCACUAUAACUGAAAUUGCGGCUCCGUGUCAUGUUGUCACCUACUGGCGUUUUGCAGUGUGAUUUGAGGAGUAUACAUCGAUUGCAUUCGUGACUUUCGAGCAUGUUCUUGCGAAUUUUUUUUUAGAUUUAUACUUUUUUUCUGGCGUUAUACUUUAAUUUGAGUAAAUAUCUGGAAGCUGCACUAGAACUUCCUAAAACUUGUUAUUUUCGAGUAUUUUAUGAAUGAUUUGUGAAUUUCAACCACCUCUAGUUGAUGUUCACAUAAUCAUCGUUAAUGAAAACGCAGAUCUUUUGAACUGAAUGAAAUAAACAGCAACGGCCACAUCCACUAGCGAUCGGAAUUUCGACUCAUUAGUAAUUCGGAACAUUCGGUUCAAUAAUAGUCGAGUCUUUCAUCUCCAAAAUGACAGUUUCUCUAAAGUUUGCGUUUUUUCGUUCAGCGAAAAGGCUAUUUCGAAUAAAUGAACAUAGCUUCAGUAUUGGAUAUGUGCUAUGUUUCCAAACAGCCAGCAUCAGAUAAAUUCCGCAUCGAUACAAUCAUUGUGGUUUUAACAGCAAUCGGCCUGACUCGUUUCGAACAUAAUACGGUAUAUACACUAAACACACGCUGAGGCAAAAGUGUAAUGCAGCGUAACUGCCAGAGGCUCCGGCGAGGUUUGAGAUUAAAAAUGUAUGCAUUACAUCUCAGCAGGGGCUAGUUUACCACCAAACCGAGUGUACAUUUAGAGUAUUCGCAGUGUGGCGCAGUACAGAGCGAUGCACAUUAAUGAGAGGGCAGAGGCAUGUUUUUGAAGAAAGCCUUCGGGUAUAACCUGCAGGUGCUCGAAUAGGGAAGAACGUCUGGUUUAACAACACGGAAGAGCCACAAAACAACAACACGUGACACUUGACUGAGCAAACGGUUCAUGCAGAUUAUCAACCGUUUCUUUUUUUUCUUCCAGAAAACAGCCCAAAACAUGAGACAUAAAACUUUUCUAUAAGAAUACUCACUGGGUAAAAUCAUUGUAAUGGUGUCAUGUAAAUACCGGAGAAGGACUAGAGUCUACUGUACGAUUCCAAUCGGCCACUGCACCUCAUCUAAUCACGUCACAUGACUGUCUGCACCGGAUUCACUUUUGGUGAUAAUGAUCACUAGUCACGUUUUGCACUGCACACGUUGUCUUGCAUUUGUCUUAUGUUGUCUAGUUUCUUAGUUCAUGUUAUUUCUCUCUGCCCAUAGUUCAUAGUUCAUGUAUUUAGUGUAUUGUAUUAGUACUUGUGUUUUGUUUGAUUAAAUUCAUAUCUGCACUCACAUCCACUUUUGCCUCCAAAACCUCACAAAUGGUUAUACGCUAGAAAUCCCUAAAGAUUGCUUUUAAUGGAGUCCUGAGUAAGACACUCUGCCCCAAGUUUUUAAUUGCAUAAAAGAGCGAGGAAGCUCUGAUGGAUCACGGGAAGUCAUAUAAUCAAUAAAUUAUACCCAGCAGAGACUUUAAACUGGGUUUACAGCAAAGUUGUAAAAUAAAGUAUUGUGCAGAAUCCACAGAACAACAUGAGCAUAAUGUUUAGUAGCGUCCGUACAAUCUAUCGUGCGAUGCUCAUGUAAACAAUUACAGAUAUUAAUGUUUAUGAUAAACACAUACACAGAUUAAGCACUCGUCCAGCCACAUGCACUGUGUCUCUAACAAGCCACAGCUGAUCCCGGUUUCUAUGAAGUUAAAAAGCGUUCGCAUUUGCACAGAACAAGUCAGGCCAGUUUGGAAGCACAAGCCCUGAGGGACAGGGAGGAGGCUCAGGUUCACUCAAACACCAAACAUUACUCAGACCUCUUACUCAGGCCGAUCCCAAACAAGGCCUCCUCGACAAGACAGCUCUGUCGGCAGGGCUUGAAAAAGGAAAUCAAACUGAUUUCGAAACGCUCUUCCAAUUAUCCCUGGACUAGGAGCUCUAACAUUGAAUGGAUGGUGGGGUAACACCUCGAAAAUUUGAGCAACCUGAAGGAUUUGAAAGCUUCGCUACACCGUCUGUCAACACGUCCAAUUGGAGAUGGGUUGCGAAUAUGUUUUCAGCUCGAGUCAUUCUCACAGUCUGGUGCUGCCACUUUCAGUCCCAGAUUAAUUAACAACUAACGACUUUGCCCUAAAAUACACCUAAAAAAAAAACUGUUUAUUGUCUGGUAUAAACAUUAGUACGCAGCAAAGAAUAUUUGGUGGCGAGGACAGCCAUCUCGACCUUGACGGGCGGCGACCACGCAGUAGACCCAAGAAACGAUGGACGGACCGAAUCAAGGAGGACACGCGACACGUGAACGCCCCCGAAGGCGCCUUUGAUCGAGCCAAACGGAGACGGACGUGACGACAAGCGGACCCCGCCAUAGGUGGGAAUAACGCUAGAAGAAGAAGAAGAAGAAGAAGAAGAAGAAGAAGAUUGUCUGGCAUAAAUCAUGCUGUGUAUUAGGGGUGUUACUGUAUACACACAAGCCAGUGAUGAAAAUAAAAAAGAAAUUUUUAUACUGGAUUUUUGUACUGUCUUGUACUGUCAACCAUUCUGUGGAUAUCCACUUCAACAAAAUCAAAAGGAAAUGAUUGAAAUAUACUGAACUAUACAGUGGGGUCCAAAAGUCUGAGACCACUAGUGAACAUGAGUUUCUUCGUAUUUGAUACACAUCCCCUUUUUUGCUUUAAUGACAGUGUGUGCUCGAGCUGGCAUGGACUCCACAAGUUUGUGCAAAACCUUAUGAUCCAUUUUAGGUCAAAUCCAUAGGAGUAUCGUCUGAUCACAUGCUUCAUUUAAAUAGAGACUUAGAAAUGUGGCAGCGGUGGCUUGGCAGUUAAUUACCUAGGGGUAAUUUAGAGUCAUCAUUCCACCCAACUGACAUACUUUUAGGAGGUUGGAGGAAACCAGAGAACCCAGAGGAACCCACACGGGUACAGAGAGAACAUACAAAACUCCACACAGACAGUAACAUGAGCCCGAGAUUGAACCGGGGACCCUGGAGAUGUGAGGCUGCAAAACUAUCCGCUACACCACAAUGCAGUGGUAAUUACCAAAAAAUGGAUUACACUAUGCAGUCGUAGGCCAGUCAUGCACUUAAAAACUUGUAUAGGUCUAGAGUUCAGACUUGAUCUGUGCUGCGAGCAUGCUGAGAAGAUAGCUAAAUCAACACCGCCACAUAAACACCAACACAAACAUCAACACAGCAACUCAAGGAUCACAAGUCUGAUCCACACAUCUCUUCCUGGAAUUGGCAGGGCACUUAAAUGCAUUCCCCAGGCAACAAAAAAGGAACAGAUGAAAAAACAAAAGUGUCGAUGCUGAGGAGGGAUAGAUGGAGGUUAAAAGCCUCCCAGCUUUCCGAAUGUGCUGACUCAUUGCAAUCACACUGAGAGCUGCGGCUCACCAGAACAUCCUGACUCUUACAGUACACCAUCUCAAUUCCUAUCAGUUAGAACGGCUAAACCUAAAGCUGGCGUCCUUACUGUGAUAUCUAACAAACAAUAUUGUUAUCAUGGACACUUCUAAAUAUUACAACCACCCCCAAAAAUAAAGGCAGAAAACACUUUAAGCAGCGUCCACAUGCUUUCAGAUCAACAGAAUGCUUUUAGGCUCUGAAAAUGUGUGGACUGAGUGCAGAGCCCUGAGGGACACGUUGAGUAACAGAUUUGUGCUUGUUGACGAGGCACCCUAAUGCAGUUAGAUACAUCGUUAAGUAAAGAAUAGAACACUUCAGGGUAUGCUGUUACAGGAAAAUAUUUCAGCGACAGUUUGGUGUGAUAAAGCGUAGUUCCUGUUAUCAUCCUGAAGUUGAUUAUUUUCAUUUAAUAUCACAUCCUGAAGCAUUUUAUUCAUCUUAUCCAACAGCCAUAAAGAUCUGCCAAUGCUAACCAUUUUUAGCAUAUAUUACAGUACAUUUGAACUGUUUAUGGUUAUAGUAAGUUAGUUCCUGUUAUCACUUACGUUAUAGAAGCUAUAAACAGUCAUUCCCUCACUAGCCUCUUGUUUUUUUUACUCUAUCUUGUUAAAAAAGACAAAAAAAAACAAUUUGUCAUGUUAGUGAGAAACCACAACACAUAAACUCCACUGUCCUCACAGCUUUAACCUCACAGUUACAGCUUUAACUCAGACUUUCAGAAGCAGGACAAUCUAGCAAAGACAUGCAGAUUUCUGAAUUAAACAGAGGCUUUAAUUACAGUAAUCAAGAGGCAGACAACCCAAUAAAACACUAAGAAAAAGCAAAGCAGUAAGGAAAAGGCAAAACAUAGUGAACAAAACACUAAAAGGCAAACAAAACUUAGCAACGAGGCUAACAAACUGGGCGUGAGUGGGCGUGGCUAAUGGUGGGGGAUUGAAGUUCUCAGAGAAAGCAGUGGUUAUGAUGCUGACUGUUACAAAGCGAUGACACUCAAGGCUCUGUCCAGAAAUAUUAAAUAAAUAAAUAUCUCCUCACUGAAAAUUUCACCACAGCAACGAUUACGUGUGUUCAUUUCAACCGGUUCACAUGGAGUGCCCACCGUACAAGCCCCUGUGUAUGUUGUUACUACAGAAACGAUAACGCAUUACAAUGAGUGCAUUAAUAUAAACGUCAGACCUGCUGUUGUAGAAAAUCAAGCAACAUUUCCCGACCAAUCAGAUUCGAGCAGGCAACAGCGCUGUGCAAUAAGCAAGGCAAGGGCCAGAGACCGUGCCUUGGAGAACGAAAGCAGCCAAAACACUGCAGAAGGGUCAGCCAAGAGGACACACUGAUUCAUGCUAGAAAAUGGCUUGUUUAGAGACAGAGAGCAGGAUGAAGAGCUUCCUCUCCUUUGUGUCCUCUCACCAUGCACCAGGAAUAUAAUACGCUAGAUAAAGACGUUGAUAAUUGACUUACACUCCAGGUUUCCAUUAACUACCUAGAUCUUUUAAUUUCAGGCUAAUUGCUUUCGACACUUAUUUGUCAUGAAGUAUUUUGUCGUUUUAAAUACAGGAUGUGUGCAGGGGUUUGUGGGUCCACAGAAUCCACUUGAGAUACAGUGUUGUGGUGAAUAGAGCUGGAAUAAUGCUGAUGAUGUCACUAAAGCGCCGGGGCUCAUUACCACCUACUCAACCCUCUUAAAAUUACCAUGGCAACAAAGUAGCCCCCAUGUCCCAUAAUCAGCACAGCUUGUUCUAGGGCUGAGUGAGUCCUCACACCGACGGCAGUCCAGUGUGGCAUUAAAGUCGCUGAAGGAAUCCAUUCAUGACAGACAGCUGUAGGAGGAGGCACAAUCCUAUCCUCACGAAAUGAACGUAACUACUUAAUGCAAUCACGCGAGUCCCUGACGUCCCUUUCGGCGCAAUAUAGAGCUAUGAAUUCCAUAAUUGCAUUUAGCAUGGUAUAUUUUUGAGUCUAUUACAAAAACCGGAACAAUACCGAAAGUGAUGUUUUAAAUCUCAAGUCUCUUGAAAACGACGCCUCACUUUUUACAUGUUCUCAUUCGCUAUCUCUCGAUCGCUUUAUCCCACAUUCUUCAUGAGGAUGGAUUUUUAUUCUCUGUGAUGAUUUCUGCAUUGGACAUGACCGCAUUCACCCUUUGGCUAGAAAAAACAGAAAGCUUGGGAACAUUCCACACAGACUGAGCGAGACCACCGGCUUUAGCUCUACACACACAUACACACACACUCCUCCCCACUCGCAUUCACCAACAUUACGGAAGCAGGACAACAAGCCCCAAAAGGCACUCGGGUAAUGAUCGUAACAUUUGCAGACCUCUAAUGUGUUCUAAUGUGCAAACAAGCGAUGAGAAUUCGAGAGCAGCGGUGACAGAGCAGAGCUUCGAGAAAAAGUGCUCUGACUUGUUUUCACUGCCUCUCAAAUACCAGGAAGUGCCACCUCACGGAUUUGAGUUGCAAAUAAAAGUGCUGUUGCAAAUCAAUCUGCAGGUCACACAGACAAAUGUCAGCUUCUAACCCUACCACACCUCCCACACCUUGAACACACACAAACACUGAUAGUCUGAGAGUCCUGGGACAGGACGGGUCUAAACAAGUUCUAAUCAAUCAAGAGUAACUGUUCAAGUGGGAUUACAACUAUAGUUCAGCUAACAAUUUUAGGUUAGCAGGAUGUUUUCUGUAGGUUUGGCUCUGAGAAACAAAACAUUCAUUGCUUGCAGCCAUCAUUGUUAGCUAUUAAGAUACAUAUCUUUAUGUCCCCAUAAUAGACUGUAAAACAGUGCAGGUCUAUGGAGAGAGGUGGGACUGCUUUUGUUUUUGCUUUUGUUAAAUGUCAUAAAUGUCUGAAUUUCUAAAUUAAAAAAAAAAAAAGAAUACACUGCAAGACCAAGCAGUCUUUUUUUUAAGUGUUUUAUUUAAAUCCCUAACACCACUGUCUAAAAAUAACAAUAAUACAGUGUGUUGCGUAAGUAUUCACCCCCUGACAUUUUUGGACAGCUGCCUGUGCUAUAUUCAUUCUUUCCAUUUAAAAAAAAUAAAAAAAUAAAAAAAACUGAUUUAAUGUUGCUCUGCAGGAUUUUCAAAGUUUGGGAUAUUUUUUUUUAGAAGCACGCCCUGAUUGAAAUGAUUCUAGUACUGUGUCCCAGAUUUAUUUUUGAUAGCUCUUUCAUCAAUUCAUAAAAGUUGUUUGUUUAGGUAUGGUCUAAUUGUAUGUCUUGGAAAAUAAUGGAAACUCAUUGCACCAGAACUAAUUUACACAACUUUAACGUUUCUUAAUCGUAAAUCAUUUUGAAAACUACAGUAGAACUCCUAUAUCCACUGUUUCGGUAAUUUGGAUCAGAAAAUUCCAGAAAUACAGUAAACAUUCAUAAAUGGAAAUUGUGUGUCGUUCUGAGUGACAUGAUGAACUCUCGUACAGCGCUACCCCUGGUCUUAAUCAUCCACACCGUUAGUCACUUAGUAACUGUCUCGGUUAUCAGAUCAACUCUCACGGUAUCGCAGUGCGUGUGUUCAAGUAACCCUUAUUUUGCCUAAUAAUGGCCACAAAGUGCAAAAGUGGUGAUGCGGGCAAAUCGGACGUGCCAAAGAGAAGUGGUAAAAUGCUUCCUUUAAGUGAAAAGGUGAAAAUUCUCGAUUUAAUAGGGAAAGAAAUAAAAUUCAAUUCAAUUCAAUUCAAUUUUAUUUGUAUAGUGCAUUUAACAGUGGACAUUGUCUCAAAGCAGUAUUAUAGAAACAUAUAAACACAGCAUACAGAUUUUAAGCAUAUGAAUUAAUCCCUAUUGAGCAAGCAGGUGGUGACGGUGGUGAGGAAAAACUCCCUAAGAUGAUCUGAGGAAGAAACCUUGAGAGAAACCAGACUCAGAAGGGAACCCAUCCACAUCUGGGUAACAACGGAUGCUGAGGUUGCCAGGAUGUACGACCUGGACUCGGCCUGUGACAACAGCUUGUCCUUCGUGCAAACAACAUCAAGUGCCUGUGUCCAGCAGUUUAGCCUCCAUGCGUCACUGCAUGUUUACCUACACAUGGGCCUUCAGUGGAAAAGUACAGCGAGCAACCCGAGCAUCCAGCCAAGACGCAGAAGUACGGACGGAAAUUCGUUUCUUUAUAAGAGAAACAGGUUGUGUACUUGAGUGUUCCAAUGAACCAAAUUUAUAUCUGUAGUUUAAACAAAUGCUCAUUUGCUUAUGUUUGCUACUCGUAGGUCCAUGAGUUUUGAAAUGGCCCAAUAUGGAUGAACUUUAACAGGUUAUAUAAGUCAAAUGUGUAGCUUUGGCAGGAAAUGUUCUCCUAAACAUUUGGAGGGGAGUGAAUUAUCCACCGUAAUCAUGUCAGUGUAACCCAUUCUAAUGUUUAUAUCAUAUA